rnacentral:sRNA from 1 species
ACGGGCCACUCGUACAUUUCAAUUCUGGGCGCGCGUCCGCUCCCACCUGACGACCGCUAGCUUUCUUGUGUUGGCC